rnacentral:rRNA from 1 species
AUUGAACGCUGGCGGCAGGCCUAACACAUGCAAGUCGAACGGUAACAGGAAGAAGCUUGCUUCUUUGCUGACGAGUGGCGGACGGGUGAGUAAUGUCUGGGAAACUGCCUGAUGGAGGGGGAUAACUACUGGAAACGGUAGCUAAUACCGCAUAACGUCGCAAGACCAAAGAGGGGGACCUUCGGGCCUCUUGCCAUCGGAUGUGCCCAGAUGGGAUUAGCUAGUUGGUGGGGUAACGGCUCACCAAGGCGACGCUCCCUAGCUGGUCCGAGAGGAUGACCAGCAACACUGUAACUGAGACACGGCCCAGACUCCUACGGGAGGCAGCAGUGGGGAAUAUUGCACAAGGGGCGCAAGCCUGGUGCAGCCAUGCCGCGUGUAUGAAGAAGGCCUUCGGGUUGUAAAGUACUUUCAGCGGGGAGGAAGGGAGUAAAGUUAAUACCUUUGCUCAUUGACGUUACCCGCAGAAGAAGCACCGGCUAACUCCGUGCCAGCAGCCGCCGUAA